CAGAAGCCUAAAUGACUCUUAACAGAUUGUUUCUGCAUUUAUCCUAUGUCUGGGGAGUCCAGAACAAGGGAUCACAGUUUAAGGAUAUGGUGUAAACCAUUUAGGACCAAAAUAAAGAGAAAUUUCUUCACCCAGAGAGUGGUGACCCUGUGAAAUUGUCUGCCUCAGAGAGCGGUUGAGGCCAAAAUGUUAUUUUCGUGAAGGAGAUGGAUAUAGCAGUUAAGGCUCAAGGGAUGAAAGGGUAUGGGGCAAAAGUGUAAACAAAGUACUGUGUUGAAUGAUCAGCCAUGAUCAUAUUGAAUAGUGGAGCAUGCUCAAACAGUCAAAGGGCCUAUUUCUGUUCCUAUUUUCUGUGCCGAGUGCUACCAGUGUUGCCACCCAUCCUCAUCUGAAAUGCAGAUAGGCAAUUGAAAUGAAAAUUGGCUUGUGCUGUGCCCAGAGUGAUUGGAUCAAAUGUUUAUUUACGUCCAGGGAAAUGAGUACUUAACCUCUUACUAUAUCCCUUAUACAACCAUGACUGUGUGGCUAAAUUCAGCUCUAACUCCAUUUACAAAUUGCAAGUGAUGUGAGGCCCUUCGAGAGCAAAUUGCGUUAAUCAGGCACUUACACAGUACAAUUUAAAGACAUCUAUAAUCACAGAAUCCUGCAUGCGAGACACAUGUAUUGAUUUGAUUUGAUUUAUUUGACUCACAUGUGCUGAGAUAUAGUGAAAAGUAUUGUUUUGUGUCCUGUCUGGACAAAUAAUACGUUGUAUAAGUACAUCAGGGUAAUACAACAGAAUGCAGAAUAUCGUGUUACAGCUGCAGAGAAGGUGCAGACAAGGAUAAACUCUAAUAUAUGAGAGGUCCAUUCACAAGUCUGUUAACAGCAGAUAAGAAGCUGUUAUUGAAUCUGUUCGUACGUGUUUUUGUACGUUUGUAUCUCAUGCCCAAUGGAAGAGGGUGGAAGAGAAUAUAACUUGGGUGGGAGAGGUUUUUGAUUAUUUUGGCUGCUUUUCUGAGGCAACAGAAAGUAUAGACUGAGUCAUUGGAAGGAAGGCUGGUUUAUGUGACGGACUGGGCUGCAUUCACAACUCUGUAAUUUCUUGCGGUCUUGCCAUACCAAGCCGUGACGCAUCCGGAUAAGCUGCUUUCUAUGGUGCAUCCGUAAAAAUUGAUAGAUUUGUUGCAACAAUGACCAAUGGAUCAGUAUUAUUGUUAAUGUGGCCUCUGUAAAAUGAAGGCACAGAAGAAUAGAAAAGGAACACGUGUUAACAACCCCAGGAUCAAUACCAACCUCCAACAGCUGCUGAACAACUUUCACAUGAAGAAGUCACGUCACAAAGAUACCGUUAGGAUAUGAAGGAGGAAUAAGAGGCCUCAAGUCUGUUGUCCUCUAUAUCAUCCCCUUUAGAUAAGGGGAUGCAAUGCUGCCACAGAUUGAGGAUGUCCUAGGACACAUAAUAGAUUGUGUCAUCUGCUGGAGUCAGAGUUGCAAACUGAAUGGG